rnacentral:rRNA from 1 species
CCUACGGGGGCUGCAGUGAGGAAUAUUGGUCAAUGGGCGGAAGCCUGAACCAGCCAAGUAGCGUGCGGGAUGAAGGCCCUACGGGUCGUAAACCGCUUUUGCACGGGGAUAACACCCUCCACUUGUGGAGGUCUGCAGGUACCGUGCGAAUAAGGGCCGGCUAAUUCCGUGCCGGCAGCCGCGGUCAGACGGAAGGCUCGAGCGUUAUCCGGAUUCAUUGGGCUUAAAGGGAGCGUAGGCGGGCGUUCAAGUCAGCGGUAAAAUGGCGCGGCUCAACCGCGCCCCGCAGUUGAACCUGGACGCCUUGAGUUCAGAGCGGGCGGGCGAAAUUCGUGGUGUAGCGGUGAAA